rnacentral:rRNA from 1 species
CUCUGUGACUCCUACGGGGAGGCAGCAGUGGGGAAUAUUGCACAAUGGGGGAAACCCUGAUGCAGCCAUGCCGCGUGUGUGAAGAAGGCCUUCGGGUUGUAAAGCACUUUCAGUAGGGAGGAAGGUAGUGUAGUUAACACCUGCAUUAUUUGACGUUACCUACAGAAGAAGCACCGGCUAACUCCGUGCCAGCAGCCGCGGUAAUACGGAGGGUGCGAGCGUUAAUCGGAAUUACUGGGCGUAAAGCGCAUGCAGGCGGCCUGUUAAGUCAGAUGUGAAAGCCCGGGGCUUAACCUCGGAAUUGCAUUUGAAACUGGCAGGCUAGAGUCUUGUAGAGGGGGGUAGGAAUUUCAGGUGUAGCGGUGAAAUAGCGUAGAGAUCUGAAGGAAUACCAGUGGCGAAGGCGGCCCCCUCGGACAAAGACUGACGCUCAGAUGCGAAAGCGUGGGGAGCAAACAGGAUUAGAUACCCUGGUAG